rnacentral:rRNA from 1 species
UAAGGAAUAUUGGUCAAUGGAGGCAACUCUGAACCAGCCAUGCCGCGUGCAGGAAGACGGCCCUCUGGGUUGUAAACUGCUUUUAUUCGGGAAUAAACCUAUCUACGUGUAGAUAGCUGAAUGUACCGAAGGAAUAAGGAUCGGCUAACUCCGUGCCAGCAGCCGCGGUAAUACGGAGGAUCCAAGCGUUAUCCGGAUUUAUUGGGUUUAAAGGGUGCGUAGGCGGCCUAUUAAGUCAGGGGUGACAGACGGUAGCUCAACUAUCGCAGUGCCCUUGAUACUGAUGAGCUUGAAUGAACUAGAGGUAGGCGGAAUGUGACAAGUAGCGAUGAAAUGCAUAGAUAUGUCACAGAACACCGAUUGCGAAGGCAGCUUAAUAUGGUUUUAUUGACGCUGAGGCACGAAAGAGUGAGGAUCAAACA